UACGUAGGGUGCAAGCGUAGUCCGGAAUUAUUGGGCGUAAAGAGCUCGUAGGCGGUCUGUCGCGUCGGCUGUGAAAACUCGGGGCUCAACUCCGAGCUUGCAGUCGAUACGGGCAGGCUAGAGUUCGGUAGGGGAGACUGGAAUUCCUGGUGUAGCGGUGAAAUGCGCAGAUAUCAGGAGGAACACCGGUGGCGAAGGCGGGUCUCUGGGCCGAUACUGACGCUGAGGAGCGAAAGCGUGGGGAGCGAACAGGA
rnacentral:rRNA from 1 species